rnacentral:rRNA from 1 species
UACGUAGGGUGCGAGCGUUAAUCGGAAUUACUGGGCGUAAAGGGUGCGCAGGCGGCUCUGCAAGUCAGGCGUGAAAUCCCCGGGCUUAACCUGGGAAUGGCGCUUGAAACUACGGGACUGGAGUAUGGCAGAGGGAGGUGGAAUUCCACGUGUAGCGGUGAAAUGCGUAGAGAUGUGGAGGAACACCGAUGGCGAAGGCAGCCUCCUGGGCCAAUACUGACGCUCAUGCACGAAAGCGUGGGGAGCAAACAGG